rnacentral:rRNA from 1 species
ACUACGGGUGGCUGCAGUGGGGAAUAUUGCACAAUGGGGGAAACCCUGAUGCAGCGACGCCGCGUGAAGGAAGAAGUAUUUCGGUAUGUAAACUUCUAUCAGCAGGGAAGAAAAUGACGGUACCUGACUAAGAAGCCGCGGCUAACUAAGGGACAGCAGCCGCGGUCAUACGUAGGGGGCAAGCGUUAUCCGGAUGUACUGGGUGUAAAGGGAGCGUAGGCGGUGCAGCAAGUCAGAAGUGAAAGCCCGGGGCUCAACUCUGGGAAUGCUUUUGAAACUGUUGAACUAGAUUGCAGGAGAGGUAAGUGGAAUUCCUAGUGUAGCGGUGAAAUGCGUAGAUAUUAGGAGGAACACCAGUGGCGAAGGCGGCUUACUGGACUGUAAAUGACGCUGAGGCUCGAAAGCGUGGGGAGCAAACAGGAUUAGAUACCCGGGUAGUC